CUCCUCUCAGGAUUGCACCUGGAGAAUUUCCAGUACUCUUCCAGUCUCAGCUAUGGGAGAGAGAGUCAAGCAGAGGCCUACCCAUUCCAUUCCUAGCAUGGGCAGUGGCUAGCGAGUGGAUGGCAAUCUGCUACAAGU
rnacentral:snoRNA from 1 species